rnacentral:rRNA from 1 species
UAGGGUUUGAUUCUGGCUCAGGAUGAACGCUAGCGGCAGGCCUAACACAUGCAAGUCGAGGGGUAACAUAAAGUGCUUGCACUUUGAUGACGACCGGCGCACGGGUGAGUAACGCGUAUACAAUCUGCCUCAUACUAGGGGAUAGCCCAGAGAAAUUUGGAUUAAUACCCUAUAGUAUCAUUUAGAGUCAUCUCUUCAUGAUUAAAGGUUACGGUAUGAGAUGAGUAUGCGUUCUAUUAGUUAGUAGGUGAGGUAACGGCUCACCUAGACCACGAUAGAUAGGGGCCCUGAGAGGGGGAUCCCCCACACUGGUACUGAGACACGGACCAGACUCCUACGGGAGGCAGCAGUGAGGAAUAUUAGACAAUGGGCGAAAGCCUGAUCUAGCCAUGCCGCGUGCAGGAUGACGGCCCUAUGGGUUGUAAACUGCUUUUAUACAGGAAGAAAAAACUCUACGUGUAGAGUCUUGACGGUACUGUAAGAAUAAGGAUCGGCUAACUCCGUGCCAGCCGCCGCGGUAAUUCA